CCAUGCCUGGUAGCUACCCUUGCCUCCUGGCAGGCAUGCAUCUGGAAAUUUUUUGGAUAACUCUAUGGCUUUUGUCUACCUCCUGAGAGAGUUUUGGUUCUUGAUAGCAGCCCCAGAUUCCUCUAUGGCUGGCACCUGGGAACUUUUUUUUUCUUUUGGAGGUAUGUCCGUGCCUUUUAUUUCCCCUUUAUUCUUACCGAUCAUGCCUUUGUAACUGUUUUGUAUGACUGUAUGGCUUUUGGCUACCUUCUCUGAGUUAUUUCCUUCUGAAUAUUUGCCCCGGAUUCCUCCAGGUCAGGUACCUGAGAUCUUUUUUCUCUUUUGAAUGUACGUGUUGUGUGCCACUUCGUGACGCGUCCAUGACACCCCGGGGUUCAUCUCCAAUCUUUAGGGGUUCAUGAACGGCCGUUGCUGCCUUUGUACGCAGUUUUCCUUUCAUUACAAGGUGAGACGCUGAGUUUUGCAGGGAAAUGCUGUGGAUUUUUUCUAAUUAAGCUUUCUGAAGGCCAUGGUUGUUUUUUUUCCUACAGUAUUUUCCUGGAGACCUGGGCCAGAAGCUUUUGAAAGUGAACACUAAACAUAGCUUAUUUAAUCAACAGAGCAAGAAGGUGUCACAAGACAGAUGAAAGAGAUGGUGUGACAGAUAGCCAGAAUAAACUACUUAUGGCACUGCAUCAGGAGAAAACAACCACAAUAGCAGUCUUCCAAAUGUCCAAGAGGUUUGCAAGGCUACAUUAAUGACUCACCAGUUAUUAAUACCAUAUUUAGUGAAGAUGACCAGAAAGCUAGUGGAGGAACUUCUUUGUUUGAAGAAAGAAACCUUAAGAAGAUGUAGUUCCAUGCAUCUCAUGAAUAAACAAUUCGAAAAGUUAUUGAAGCAUCUGAAGUGGCCAUCACAUUCUGGACAGCAUUAA
rnacentral:lncRNA from 1 species